AGAGUUUGAUCCUGGCUCACGAUGAACGCUGGCGGCGCGCCUAACACAUGCAAGUCGAACGAGCGAGAGAGAGCUUGCUUUCUCAAGCGAGUGGCGAACGGGUGAGUAACGCGUGAGGAACCUGCCUCAAAGAGGGGGACAACAGUUGGAAACGACUGCUAAUACCGCAUAAGCCCACAGGUCGGCAUCGACCAGAGGGAAAAGGAGCAAUCCGCUUUGAGAUGGCCUCGCGUCCGAUUAGCUAGUUGGUGAGGUAACGGCCCACCAAGGCGACGAUCGGUAGCCGGACUGAGAGGUUGAACGGCCACAUUGGGACUGAGACACGGCCCAGACUCCUACGGGAGGCAGCAGUGGGGAAUAUUGCACAAUGGGGGAAACCCUGAUGCAGCGACGCCGCGUGGAGGAAGAAGGUCUUCGGAUUGUAAACUCCUGUUGUUGAGGAAGAUAAUGACGGUACUCAACAAGGAAGUGACGGCUAACUACGUGCCAGCAGCCGCGGUAAAACGUAGGUCACAAGCGUUGUCCGGAAUUACUGGGUGUAAAGGGAGCGCAGGCGGGAAGACAAGUUGGAAGUGAAAUCUAUGGGCUCAACCCAUAAACUGCUUUCAAAACUGUUUUUCUUGAGUAGUGCAGAGUAGGCGGAAUUCCCGGUGUAGCGGUGGAAUGCGUAGAUAUCGGGAGGAACACCAGUGGCGAAGGCGGCCUACUGGGCACCAACUGACGCUGAGGCUCGAAAGUGUGGGUACCAAACAGGAUUAGAUACCCUGGUAGUCCACACCGUAAACGAUGAUUACUAGGUGUUGGAGGAUUGACCCCUUCAGUGCCGCAGUUAACACAAUAAGUAAUCCACCUGGGGAGUACGACCGCAAGGUUGAAACUCAAAGGAAUUGACGGGGGCCCGCACAAGCAGUGGAGUAUGUGGUUUAAUUCGACGCAACGCGAAGAACCUUACCAAGUCUUGACAUCCCUUGACGAUACUGGAAACAGUAUUUCUCUUCGGAGCAAGGAGACAGGUGGUGCAUGGUUGUCGUCAGCUCGUGUCGUGAGAUGUUGGGUUAAGUCCCGCAACGAGCGCAACCCUUACUGUCAGUUACUACGCAAGAGGACUCUGGCAGGACUGCCGUUGACAAAACGGAGGAAGGUGGGGAUGACGUCAAAUCAUCAUGCCCUUUAUGACUUGGGCUACACACGUACUACAAUGGCGUUAAACAAAGAGAAGCAAGACCGCGAGGUGGAGCAAAACUCAGAAACAACGUCCCAGUUCGGACUGCAGGCUGCAACUCGCCUGCACGAAGUCGGAAUUGCUAGUAAUCGUGGAUCAGCAUGCCACGGUGAAUACGUUCNCCGGGCCUUGUACACACCGCCCGUC
rnacentral:rRNA from 1 species